CCCGUCCCGUCCUAAACCCACUCCCAACUCCAGUCGUCCAGUUCAGUCGACCUCUCCAGUUCGUAUUCGAUUCCUUCUCCAGUUCGUCGCCUCCUCCAGUCCUCCUCCUCUAAAAUCUGGCAGAGCUCGGCUUCUCCACUUCAAGUCUCAGAGAUCAAGACAUCAAUUUCGUUUAAUUGAAUGUUGUAUUGGAUUGAUGAUUUCAUGGAUUGAAGAAUGAAGGUUGUCUCUUGGUCUGGAAAUCUGGUAUGCAGCUCUGAUUUCUCUCCGUCUUCUUGGUUCUACAAUUUCUGGGUUCUGCACUUCUGCACUUCUGGGUUCUGCACUUCUGCAGUUCACUCGACUUAAAUCUGGUCAGUGCCUCAGUGGGUUUACUUAAAAUUGUGCAAUUGAGUUUUUGCAGCAAAUAUGAGUUUCUGCAGCAAAUAUGGCAUUCUGCUGUGUAAAUGUGCAAUUGAGUCUACUGCUUUCUGAGGUAUUUUUUUUCUUUUCUGUUCAUUGUGCAUCAGUGCAUAUAAUUUAUAUUGU